GGGAGGGUUUAGGGGGGGCAUAGGAGCUGUGAUGGGGAGAUAGUGGCUGUGAUGGGAGAAGUAGGGGCUUAGAUUGGAGGGAGAGGCGGGCCUGAGAUGAGGGUUAUGGGUAGGUAGAGGCUGUGGUGAAGUUAUGGGGGAGAUAGAGGCUGAGAUGGGGAGGUAGGGGCUGACAUUGGGUUUGUUAAAUCUGUGUUGAGUAAAACACUUCAUUCUCUUGAUUUACUUGGAGCAUAUAAGUGGCAUACGGAUGGGUAUACUUUUUAGGAAAAAUGUGUUGGUUUCCAUCUGCAAAAGUGUAUGUCUUGGAGGCAAACUAUUGCUGCUGGUAAGGUGAGCAGUUGUUGGAUUGUUAGUCUCCUCUUAUGUGAAGCAUUUACUCUAUUGACAUUUCAUGUCAAAAUACUAAACUGUUGUGCCAUGAAUAUCUGUAGAGAGAAGAGAGGUGCAUAAGGACUUAUGUGAGAUUUUAAUGGUUUAGUCAGGUAGACCAUAAGGAGUGAUAUGAG